UUGGGCGUAAAGCGAGCGCAGGUGGUUUAUUAAGUCUGGUGUAAAAGGCAGUGGCUCAACCAUUGUAUGCAUUGGAAACUGGUAGACUUGAGUGCAGGAGAGGAGAGUGGAAUUCCAUGUGUAGCGGUGAAAUGCGUAGAUAUAUGGAGGAACACCGGUGGCGAAAGCGGCUCUCUGGCCUGUAACUGACACUGAGGCUCGAAAGCGUGGGGA
rnacentral:rRNA from 1 species